rnacentral:ncRNA from 2 species
UUCUUAUCGAGAGAGACGGAGGGAUAGGCCCGGCGAAGUCUCAGCAACCAGCUCAGGCACGGUGCUAAUUCCAAGGGUGAGUCCACCUUGAAGAUGAGAA